rnacentral:rRNA from 1 species
GAUGAACGCUGGCGGCGUGCCUAAUACAUGCAAGUCGAGCGAACGGACGAGAAGCUUGCUUUUCUGAUGUUAGCGGCGGACGGGUGAGUAACACGUGGAUAACCUACCUAUAAGACUGGGAUAACUUCGGGAAACCGGAGCUAAUACCGGAUAAUAUUUUGAACCGCAUGGUUCAAAAGUGAAAGACGGUCUUGCUGUCACUUAUAGAUGGAUCCGCGCUGCAUUAGCUAGUUGGUAAGGUAACGGCUCACCAAGGCAACGAUGCAUAGCCGACCUGAGAGGGUGAUCGGCCACACUGGAACUGAGACACGGUCCAGACUCCUACGGGAGGCAGCAGUAGGGAAUCUUCCGUAAUGGGCGAAAGCCUGACGGAGCAACGCCGCGUGAGUGAUGAAGGUCUUCGGAUCGUAAAACUCUGUUAUUAGGGAAGAACAUAUGUGUAAGUAACUGUGCACAUCUUGACGGUACCUAAUCAGAAAGCCACGGCUAACUACGUG